rnacentral:misc_RNA from 1 species
AUAAUUUUGGUGAUGGAAAAGUUAUUUUUUUUUUUCCAUUUGGAUAACAAGUGAAAAACAGCACUUUUGUCAUAUGAGAAAACAGAGGAAAAUAACUUGAAACCCAAUUUCCAAACCUUUGUUAAACUUUGGAAAAUUGAAAAACUAGUUUACUUUUCCAGUUCUUCAUUUGAAAAAUAGGCACAUGUGAACAUAAUUCCUAUUUUUCAAUUUUCUUAGAAAACCUUUCCAAUUUUCCAAAAGUGAACAGGCCCUUAAGCUUUUUUUUUCCCCCUCAUAAUCAUCGGUGCAUGUUUGCACUCAAGGUCCUUACAUGAUUAAU